GACAUUGAGUGCCUGGAGCCCUCCCUAGCUCUCCAGCUGGAACCUUCCUCUGUAGGAAGGCUGAGGCUAGCAGGGAGAAGCCAGGAUGGAUUUUAAAGAGCCUUGUUGUCUCUAAGGAAGAGUGGAGCUUACAUCUUUGGGUUUGCAGAAAUGCCCACAUUCAACUCAGGGGGAAUAAAAGGAUGGGAGUUAGAAUUUCAACUUGCAGUUGCAGAAUCUCAGAGUUAAAAGAAACCUCAGAGGUCAUCUCUUCCAACCCUUCUCCAGAGCAGCUUUAAUUGCCUGUGUGGGAGAUUCAGGGCCAGCAGCUGCAGCUUCCCUUUCCCUGCCUCUGACUUGCCAGAAUCCUGUUACACCUGGGAUUUAGGCACUUUCAAUCUGAAAAAAUACAUAUCCUUUCAGCACUCUGGACGGACUUGAGAACUGUCCUUACGUGACCUAAAGCUGGAGUAUUUUGAGAUUGGAGAAUUAAGGCCAACAGAGAUUUUGAGAAACACAUUGAAGGAUCUGUUAACACUUGAUAUACCCAAUAAAAGCAGUGGUUGUGCCAGUGCUGAUCUGUCUUGAUGUGAAUGUGAACAAUGGGAACCUGAGCUGAGCAGUUAAUGCUAGGGUGACAGAAACUGGACCUCUCCCAAGACAUGUGACAGAGUAAUACAGCAGCCAACUUCUUCGCCAAAUUAAAGUUUUACAAGAUUUAACCUGUCAUCAAGACCUGGGAUUUUGGUGAGCCAGUCUUGGUGCUCUGUGUUCACCUGGUUCAUCUGAGGAGCUGCAUCUACCCUGCCCAUGCCAUAGAUCCUGCCCUGUUUGCUUCUCCUGUUGCUGCUAGUGGACAUGAGAAGGACAGAAUAACGGGCUCCCAGAUUCACAAGCCCCACCAAGAGGAUCACCCCAGGAACGCUUGGAGGCUGAGGAGUUCACUGAGGCUACUGCAUCUUGAGACUCAGGAUGAAGACCCAGCUUGGGGCUGUCAAAGGUUUUUUGCAUGUCUGACACCCAUGACUCCACCUGGACCUUAUGGCUCCACCCAGAAGCAAUUCAGCCCAACAGGAGGACAGCUUCAACCCAUUACGAUUUCAUCUCUGCCCCAACCACUCAGCAGCAAGCACCUGUUACCUGUCCACCCCCACCCCUUCCCCCAAACUGCCUUUGAAAAAUCCCUAACCUAUGAGCUUUGAAUAAGAUGAGUACGAACUUCAUCGCCCACGUGGCGUGGCCGGCCUCGUGUCUAUUAAAUUCUUUUUCUACUACAA
rnacentral:lncRNA from 1 species